UACGAAGGGGGCUAGCGUUGUUCGGAAUUACUGGGCGUAAAGCGCACGUAGGCGGGUUGUUAAGUCAGGGGUGAAAUCCCGGAGCUCAACUCCGGAACUGCCUUUGAUACUGCAAAUCUCGAGUCCGGAAGAGGUGAGUGGAAUUCCUAGUGUAGAGGUGAAAUUCGUAGAUAUUAGGAAGAACACCAGUGGCGAAGGCGGCUCACUGGUCCGGUACUGACGCUGAGGUGCGAAAGCGUGGGGAGCCAAACAGGG
rnacentral:rRNA from 1 species